GCCUCGAUGGUGUAGUGGUCAUCACGCCCGACAAGUAACUUAGGGAGACGUGAGUUUGAUUCCCGCUCGGAACA